rnacentral:rRNA from 1 species
UACGUAGGGGGCGAGCGUUGUCCGGAGUUAUUGGGCGUAAAGCGCGCGCAGGCGGUCUAGCCAGUCUGGAGUGACAGUUCCCGGCUCACCUGGGAAAGGUCUUCGGAAACUGCUAGACUUGAGGGACUCAGAGGGAGACGGAAUUCCAGGUGGAGCGGUGAAAUGCGUAGAGAUCUGGAGGAACACCAAAGGCGAAGGCAGUCUCCUGGGAGUUACCUGACGCUCAGGCGCGAAAGCCAGGGGAGCGAACGGG